rnacentral:misc_RNA from 1 species
GAUGAAGAACGUAGCGAAGUGCGAUAAGUAAUGUGAAUUGCAGAAUUCCGUGAAUCAUCGAAUCUUUGAACGCAAAUUGCGCUUCCUGGCAUCCCGGGAAGUAUGCCUGUUUGAGGGUCAGUGUUAAUAAAAAUCGGUUCGUUGCGAAUUUUUUGUGACGUUCCGGAGUUUGGGUUAUCUUAACUUUUUUGGUUAAGAGGCUUAAAAUUGACCUUUUUUUUGCGCAUUUUUUAGACGUACAUAAAUUUUUUUUUUAUUCGUCUAUUCUUAAUGCCAAAAUAUAUUAGAUGCGACCAUCUCGUGUGGUUCCGUGUCUAUAAAUUUUUCAUGAUUUGACCUCAAAUCAGGUAGGAGUACCCGCUGAACUUAAGCAUAUCAAUAAGCGGAGGA